GCUAAACCUAAAAUAAAUGGAGAGGAAAAGUCCAACUAAGAAAAAAAGGAAAAAAAAAAACAAAGAGAAUGUUAGAGAGAAAGAGUACAAACGUGAGAGAGAGAGAGUGAUGACAGAGGACUUCGUGUACAGUGGUGGCCUGCACCAGAGUGGUUCAUAGAGGGGGGUCGUGGUGGUCGGUUAACAAAGGUGCGGACGCUCGAUCGAAGAUGGAAGUUGUGGUGGCAUAAGGUCUGGAAACAGAAGCCGCGAUCCUAUCCCGACGACACAAAAACAAGCAACCUCAAAUAAUUAAGGAAAUAAAUGACUUAUCUUUUUUAUUUUGAUUUAGUGUUCAAAUAGUGAAGAUAUAACCUUAUUAGGAUUAAAAAAAAAAACAUAUUAAAAUGGGAAAUGGAGUUGCUUGCAGACAAAAAUGGAGGAAGGUGUAAGGAAAGUGCGGAAGGAGGAAAGGGCACUGGUGUACUUCUAUUUGUUGUUUUUUUUUUCCGCUAAAUAUAAUGUAAUUGAAAUCCAUAUAAAUACAUACUCAAAAUUUGGAUUAUUUAUAAAACGAAA